rnacentral:lncRNA from 1 species
GCAGGCGCAGCUUCCGCUCUGCCCUCUGGGAAUUAAAGUCUUUCGGCCUCUCUAGUCCCUCAAGCGCUAGGCCCUUUCGUCCAGAAUGAACUACAAAUACCGCGAUGCUAAGAGAUUUGGCGUCCAAAGAGUGGAGGAAGAGGAAGGCAAUAGGAAGGAGGGCAGAAAGGAAGAUGGUGUCUCGGGUUGCCUAUCGGUAAUUGUAGUUUUAAUUGACUCCUUUAUGGUCUUUCCCACUCUAAGGAGCCAGGCGAAAGCGUCUGGGAGACCACAUUUCCUAGGAUGCCAUGCGGUGCGUCGUCCAGUCGCACUUCCGCGUUGAGCAGCGGGAAGGAUGCAGGGAAGCUCCGUAUAAACAGAGUUAAGGGAGUGAGUGUUGGAGCCGAGGGUCUGAAGUUCACGACUACUAGAAGGGGAGGGGAGUGGAAAUUCUCUCAGUGAAGAAGAAGGUAAGACUGAUGGCUCCAGAAUUUCUAAGAGGAGGAAUCUGUCAAGAGUCUGCUGAGAGCAUACAACACUAGGACCGUGAUGGUGAACCUUUCAGAGCUUUCAGUGAUACAAAUAGCCCACUGAGGUAUGGACCAUCUCCUGUACACUUGGAGCAACUUUGGCUACGUGGCUGGCCUUGUUAUUUCACCACUGGAUAUAUUGGAAUGGGAAGCAACUUACAAGAACAAUUAACUGGAGCAAAGGGAGAAGAUAUUUCUUUGUGCAGAUUCCGUGAGGGCUGUGCAGAAAUGUAUAUGGUCAAAGCCAAGCAGUUCCAUGUACAGCACUGUUGUUUUUUUAAUGUAGUUUCAACAUGAUGUGAUUGUAGCUUUUUAAACUAUGAAAACCCUGAGAGAUUGUACCUUCUAGUUGAAAUAAAGUAUUUAUAAUAGAUUGUGGCUUCAUAGUCUGUUUGCUGCUUCUUAGACCUUUAAGGAACAUUCUUAAUGAACUUUAUAGAAUUCUGAGGACAGGUUUUUGUUUUCUUUCAAGUUUGAAAUUGCUUUAUUACAAGAGGUCUGGGUAUCGCUGUAGCAUUUCAUAUGCUUUCUGAGAGAAAUUGACAGUUCUUGGC